AUGCCCGGCAGGUCCUGCCCGUUCCAGAAAGGGGGCCCGUGUCACGCUGCCCCCGAGCGGCAGCCCCUUCCGCGCCCCUCGGGAACGCCGGGCUGGGGCUCCACCGCGGCUGUGCGCUCGGGGGCUGCGUGCCGUCCCGCCGCCCGCGAGAGCCCUUCCCGCGCCGGGGCGCGCACGCAGAGGCCGAACCGAGCGGUGCCAAACCACUUUACUCCACGCCAGCAGCAAAGCAGCCGCACCGACCCCGUCCCCGGCGCCGCAGUGCCACAGCACCGCCUGCCCCGUGCCCACGAGAGCCGGCCCGGGUGCCGCGGUGGUGGCCGGCACCUGGCCCGGCUCCCGUCUGCCUCUCUACAGCAGCCACGUGUCCGAGUGCUGGGUGCAGUAGCAGGACUGGAGCAGCAGCGCGUCCAGCUCCUUGUACGGCUGCUCCCGCCAGUGAGGCAGCAGCGGCUGGUUGUUGAAGACGCGGAGGUUGGGGGUGCCGGCACGGAGCAGGCUGUAGAGGCAGCUCCAGCGGCUCUGCAGCGCCAGCCGCRUCCUCCGGUUCAGGAUAAUGCCGCGGACCGUCUUCUUGACCCGCAGGGCGCGCAGGGCGGGCAGGUCGAGGCGGCAGAACACCAGCCCCCGGCUCUGCGACACGUCCAGGUACUCCAGGGAGCGCGACUCCAGGGCGUAGGACAUGCCCAGGUCCUUGACGGGCACCAGCACGUGGAGGACGAGCGUCUUGAGGCGAGGCAGCGCCCGGGUGAGCUCCCGCAUGAUCUCGGGACAGACGCCCUUGAAGCUCCAGAAGUACUUGAGCUCGAGGGUGUGGAGGUGCUGGAAGCGGGUGAGCGUGGCCACGGAGCGCGCCGACCAGUCGAAGGGCAGCUUGGCGCGCGCCAGCCCCGGCGCCUUCCCCAGCAGCUUCUCCAGCAGCGCCUGGAAGCGGCUCACCUGGUCCAUCUUGGCCAGGCUCACCUGGGCCAUGCUGCAGGCGCCGGGCGGGUGGACGUCGGGCGGCUCCAGGUGGGUGAGCGUCCAGUUGAGCUCCAGCUCGCGCAGCUCCCCGCAGUGCACGCUGUCGAGGAAGCGCGAGAGGAACUCGGCCCACUUGGCGUCGUGGUCGCCCAGGUCGAAGCUGGCGCGCAGCAGGCGGGGGCUGGCGCGCCGCGACGCCAGGUGGAAGGCGUAGCGGUGCACCCAGGCCUUCCAGCGCUCAAACUCCCCGGCGGACACCAGCACCACGUCCACGCCUGGCUGCAGCGCCCCGAGCCGCGUGAAGUCGGCCACCCGCCAGAGCCGCGCCGUGCGGAUCAGGCGGCUCCAGGCGCCGCACACCAGCGCCGCCGUGCACUUCUCCACCUCCGAGAGGAAGGAGAAGACGUGGAGCUGGCAGUCCUCGGGCAGGCGGCUGAAGGGGAAGUGAACCGGAGCCGGGGCUYGGCGGUGCGGGCGGGCGCAGGCCCGGUGCCGCGAGCUGGCCCCGGCCUUGGCGGCAGAGCAGCACGGCGGCGUGGUGGCGAGGUCUCGCCGGCUGCGCUUCCUCUUCGGAGGCAUCGCGGCUGCGCCCCGCCGGGCGUCAGCGGCGCUCGGCCGGGUGCCCGGGGCAGCGGGCACCUGUGGGGACACGCGACCCCUCGCUCGCCGCACGGGGACCGAUGGAGGGUUUCCGGGCUUCGUCAUGGGACGCCGCUGCGCUCGAGCCCCGCGGCCCCCAGCGAACGGUCGCGGCCCCCUAAAACCCUUCCCGGCAUCGCAAGCCGU
ensembl:lncRNA